UCAUAACUAAAAGACAACUGGGAAUGCUUUUAAAACAUAUCAAAAGAUGAUUGGAGUGAGACUUUAAAUUGUUCUAACUUGCUAUUAACACAAUAAAAACUCCACAGUUAAAAAUAAAAUAAUAAGUCGGGUUGUUUUCAACCCAAAUCAGAUGUUAAAAAGGAACCAUUUUUUCUUCGGGGGUAUUUUGACUCAGAAAAAAACAUAAUGAAGAAAAAAGCAUCAAUUGGGUUAAAAUGAAAGCAAUAUAACCACCAAAUUAAACAAAAGUAACCUAAAAUAUAUACACGAAUAACCCAAGAAUUUGGUUAAAGAAAUAACCCAGGUGUUUACAUAUGUCUAUGAUUCAUUUCUUUAAAAAUCAAAUUUAUUAACCUUCUGACCUCAUUGCACUUUCACAACCAAAAUGGCAAAAAUACAAACUAAAAUAAACAAUUUUGCUGUAAAAGUAUAAAAUAUAUAUCUAACACUAAUAAUGUAAUUAUGAUAUAUACAUUAUUACUGGAGAAUAACAGAUAAACAUGCACAUAUGAAAUAAUAAAAACAUUAUUUCAGUUCCUUAAAGCUGAAUAUUGAACCAUAUCUGGCCCAACUCUAAAACUUCCACAAAAAAAUAUCAGCCUCAGAUAGUACAGUAAGACAGAAACAUGCACCCUGUAAAGCAGGUUAAAGUCCAAACCUUUUACAAGUGCAAUGCAGCACUAUGCCUUUUUUAAUCUGUAGCUCUUCAAUUUCCUCUGAGCUCCAGAUAAAUUGUGUAUUUUAAGGUCCAAGAAGCAAUACGGUUAGUUUCAGGAUGUUGCAUACUUAAUUUUACUUUGAGUUUUAUUGUUUUGUUUUUUUUUUCACGUCACACUUCCUCCACUUCAACAGCCCACAUGUACUGUUUUUUAAUUGGAGGUCCCAAAUAGUUUUUUUUCUAAUCUCGAUCGGAGAUGGCCCAAAAGCAUUUUUUAGCCUUAAGUUUCAAUUUUUUCUUAAACAAAAAACUUUAUAUAUUCUUUUACUCAUUCAAUUUAAUGUAUUCCUGAUGUCCUGUUUUUGUUGGAUAAGCUUAAAAUCUGUGCCAUUUCAAAAUUAUCAUUCAGGGAAGAAGUAGCUUGUAGUGUAAAAUCAAUAGCUGCUUAAAAUUCAUUGCAAGGCAAUCCAUUUGCCCUUUAUGUUGCUAACCUUUCACUUAAAUAUGCACCAUAUUAAGAUUUCAUUAUAUACAAUGAAUGUCACAACAGUUUGCCCACUACUUUUUCUUGUUUGCUGGGUUAACUGCAAAUCAUUGCGCUCGUAAUGUCUGAAAAAUGACUUUCAUUAAUAUGGGAAAAGGAGAAAAAGAAAAACAUCUGAGCCCCAGCAGCCUAAAGGGUACUAAAAGGCAACACAGGAUAUGUGUGAUGUUUUAGAUAAAACGGCUCUUUAGCAGACUGGGUGGGCUGCGUGUGUCCAACCCCUGUUAUGAAAACACGACGCAACUCAAAAACGCAGCCUGUCGACUUGUGCUUCAAAUUGCACCAUAAUGCUUUGAUUAUUUUAAUCCGCAAAAACAGCAAAAUAUUAAUUUGAAGUCAAGAAUCUGCAUUAAAGCAACCAACUUUUGCUUAAAAGAAGCAUCAAUGAAGUCAAUUAAAAAAAAGUUACAGAAUACUCCAAUAGUUUUCUAAGAAGUGCACGUGGAGGAGAUUGUAGUAAACAAAUGAUCGUGUCAAAAUGUAAUCACCCUGUAUGAUGUAUGGCAUCAGGAAAGUGUUUGAAAAUGUAUGGAUACGGGACAGGACUUGUGUAUGAUCAAUGACACACUAUAUUGUUUGAUGUCAUAAUUUAUUCAGCCCAUAACGCCUUGAUAAAACAAUGUUGAAAAGCAAUUUAAAUUAAAUUCAUUUAAAUGUCAAUUCUCAUGGUUAGGAUUUUUCUAUAAUUGGCUAUUUAAUUAAAAUAAUUUUCAUAGUCAUUAAUACAGCCAGCAAGUUGUAGUGCGCUGACGUGUUUUAAUUACAUGGUAUUAACAAAAUUGAUAUGCUUUAGAAAGCAUGGUGAAUAAGAAAUAAUUAGAACAAUCAUACAUCAUCCUCUUAUGGACAUUAAGUGUAUCACAAUAUAAUUGAUGAACUUAAAAAAAGGAGGGAGAUAAAUAACUUUAUUUCUUCUGAGUUGGUGUGCAGAGAUUAGGGGGGAAAAGUCACACUUACAGGGUAUUAAAUUUCAGAUUCAAAUUAAUAUGUGUAGCAUAAUUUUGCUUUUUUUGGGACACACCACUUUCCCUUUAAUCGAGGAAUGCAUGACAUUUGAAGGUAGUGGCGCUUUGUAUCCUUUUAAAAAUGUCCUUUUUGCGUGGACUGCUUUAGAUCUUCAAAAUGCAUUCCUGCACGGGCAAAUGAGAUGAACAAAAGCAGACACAGAAAUCAUUUAGAUGCUUGGAAGAAAGCACUUAUUGAUCAUGAAUAUUUGUUCCUCCAAGGUUAUACUGCCUUGACCCCAUCUCUCCUUAGACGGCGGCUAACACAAACAUGCCACUUGGGGUGAAGGGGAGAUGACAGAGAGUGCUCUGAUGGCGGAGGUCCUGGUACAUCUCCUGUCCACCCCGGUAGAGGAUCCCUCCUUCAUGUGGACAUCCCUAAGAUUGUCCAAAGAAAACUGGAACCAGAGGACUUGGUUAAACAUUGUGAUACGGUUCUUUUUCAUUGCUAACCUAUAAAAAAUGUUAUUAAUUGCAAAUGUCUUUAUUUUAUUUGUCAUAACCCAAGCUAACACAUCAAACCCUACUCAGUUUUUUUGUUUUCUGAAGACACUCUUAUUCUAAAUUUUUAUUUACUGUGUUGGUUCAAAAGAAUCAUCUGACUUUAAUCAUGGAAGAAAUCAGUCAUCUCUUUAUGUACCAUGAUCACCAUAUAAUAAUGAUAUUAAAGUGCAUCAUGCGAUGCAAAAAAUUUUAUCUUGCAAAAUAGUACACAAAGUCGUUUAUCUUUUUGACAUCUCAGCAGUAGAAUAAUACAUCUUGGCCGGGCAGCAUCAUGAGCCUUAAUAUCUCUCAGUUUGCAGCAGGUCACUAUACUCUGCUGACUUUCUAAACUAUGCGGCAAACAGCAAUGAUUAUUCAUGUCAUUCUUCAAAGGUCCUUGAGAGAGGCUUGUUGCAGCAGCGAUUCAACCUUUCGUAUUAAUUCAAGCUUGGCUAAGAUUGUACCAUCUGGGUCCUUGUAUUUCAUGAUUAAUGCCAAAGAGUCGAUUCAUAUUCACAACUGGAGUUUAAUAAACAAGGAUUUGAGAGCUAAAUGGCACAAACAAACGCUUGAAACAAACUUAUUCCUCGUAACUCGUUUGUGUUCUUCAAUAAAGCCGGCGUAAUUGCUCCGCACAAUUAUCUCUCUGAUUCAUAUAUGUUGGGAUUUUGUAAUUAACAUAAUGUGUUUCUUCCACAGAUUAAAUAGUCCUACAACUCUAAGAUGCCUUGAGACACAUGUAUGUAAGCAUCUUUAUUUGGUUCAAAUUAACUUACGACUGGUACUGAGUGAUUAACACACACACAAAGAAAGAAUUGUGUGUUCUUCACUGUGUACGUAUUAAUGUGUCAACAAAUGUUUUCCCUUUCAGAUGAAAUUGUUUAUAUUCACAUUAUGACUUGGCAGACCAAAUUAACUUUGCAGUGUUUGUUUGUUCACAUUCUAUUUCAAUGUCACAGCGACUCAAACUACACUAAGCUUUUGUUGCUGAUUGUUGUCUAUAAAUGUGGAGAAUUAGGGACACACAACAG